rnacentral:sRNA from 1 species
UGUGACCUCUACAUGCAAACUGAGAGAGAACAAAAGAACAUACAGGCCAGCUCUACUGAGCUGCCCAGGCAAGGAGAAGCCUGAAGAAGGUGGGGACAGGGAUCGCUCUCCUGCUCUCACGAUCCCAUGGCAAGGAGUGAGGAUGAGAGAAACUUUUUUAAAAACAUUCUUUUGAGUUGCACAGGCUGCGUUUGAAAUCGCUAUGUAGUCCAGACAGGGCUGCUCCUGCCUCAGACCCGUAAGCAGCUGGUAUUGAUUACAGGUAGGUGCCACUGCUUUUGGUUAAAUUUAAAUUCCAAAUGAACAAACAGAUUUUAGUAGAGUUAUAGAAUACUGGGGACAUAUUUACCCUGAAAAUGUGUUUGUCUGAAACUCUAAUACAUUGGGCACUCUGUACUUGGUCUGAAAAGGCUGGCCAAGAAGAAACCACUCCAAAAAAGGCUCCUCUGACUUCUCUUCUUCCAACUAGAGCAGACGGGAGAACUGAAGAUUACCCAAACAAAAUAAACUCAUUUGCGCCUGCUGGCUUUUGCUUCCCAUCUUUUCCUAAAUCUUUGAAAUGAAUAUUCAUUUAAUACAACAAGAGAAAUUAAACAUGAGUUAGUCUAUCGUCCUUCUUUAACAAGGAUCAGAACAAAGUAUAAAGGCAAACUUCUAAAAUAGAUCUCUUGUUUUGACCUUCAGAAUCUGCUCACGUCUUCUGGUAGCAGCAACUUCCUGCUGAGGGUGAAGGAGUUGGGUCUGAGUCAGUCAAGACUGUCAUUCUGAUCAGAGUUACUGGCUCAGCUGUUUAGAUCAAAAAUGAAGUCUGGGAGGCAGGAUGUGCAAAUGGUUUCAAGAGGGAUGGGGGACCCAGAUUCACUAUGCUGAUAAGUCAGGGGUUGGAGGCCUGCGCCUGGCUUCACUAAGUCUAAGAGGACGGCUGGCCGAGGACAAGCUGGCUGACGAUGGAAGACAAGGGGUCCUGCUGACAAUGAAGCCAACCGUGACAUUUCUAGCAUGUAAGUCAGAAAAUAUGUUUAAAAACAGUUUAAGCCAAUUUGAGUUGGGAGGAGGGACAGAGCUAGCCAGAGGGAGCACAACAGCACACACAGUCCUCAGAGAAGUCAGGAGGCCGGGGGACAGAUGAUGAAACACAAAGGACUUUCAAGAAGCAGCAUUCCCACCUUUGUAGCCAUUAGAAGAAUUUUUGCCAGACUCCAAUAAUUUAAGUUUUACUUUUACAACUUUGAGUAAGUGUAGUGACAUUUUUGAGAUUCUGGAAUUUUGGCUUCUUUUAAAAACACAUAAAUAUUGUAAGAAAGUGCUUUUAUUUUAAUCCCAGGUGUGGGAUUAAUUCAGGGCUACUUUGAACUGCCUGAAGCAGCCAUGAUUUGCCUCAUGCCCCAGGAGAGAUACAGAUAGUUUCUGAGAUUGGGUAACAUGUGGAAUUCUGGGACCUUUUCAGAGGGUGUACAGAGCAGCGACAGGCAGGGUUGUUGGUUGUUCUGGGUAGGGGUUGGUUGUGGUUUGUUAGUAGUUGUGCUCAGGGAAGAAACAAAAGGAAAGAAAUUAGAUUCAGAGACCUCUAUCUCUCUUUCCCCCCCAUCCUUCUUUCUCUCCCAUCUAGUGAUGUGAGUGAGAUCAGAAUGAAGGAUGGGAAAAAGGAGAACCCACAAAGCAGCAAAGACCAGCUACAAGUAAGUUUGCAUGAGGACAGGUCAGUCCAUGAUUAGGCCCAAAGACUCCCUCAAUGUGAUUUGCCCAACAUCUAAAAGACCCCAGAGAAAGUGGUCCCAUCCUAGAGUCUGGGGUGUGCCAUUUACCCUUGAUCCCUUAAUAUAUAAAACUUGGCUGGCCUUAUGUGUAAUCCAACUUACCUAACCUCACCCUAACAGCUACUGGGCAUGAACACAUUAGUGAGGGAAGAUGGGCCGUUUACAUUAUGCAGUUGGCUCCUAGCUGAGGCAAGUGGGGGAGGAGGCAGAAGGGUGACAGAACCAGAAACAACUGAUUAGUCCAAGGUCACACAUCUGCCUAAUGAUGGAGCCAAGUCUAGUACAAAGCUUCAGCUAUAACCACUGUGAUAUGGGACAUACCCUAAAAAGCAUCUGGGAUUUUUCCAGUCAUCCUUUCUCGAACUCUCAGUAAAAUUUACACAUCUCACCCUUAGGAAGCAGACCCAGACGUUGGACUCAGGGCCUUACACUUGUUAGGCUAGCAUUCUACAACUGAGCUACAUCUUCAGUCCCAUUUUUUUUUUUUUUUGAGGCAGGGUCUCAUUGUGUAUCCCUGGCUGAACAGUAACUUACUACAUUGGUGUCGAACUCAACAAAAAUCUGCCUGUCUGCCUCCUGAAUGCUGAGGUCAAAGCAUGUGCCACCACCAGACCCCAAUUUUUUAAAUGCUAAACGUUAACUAUUUAAAACCUAAAACCUUCCAUAAUUAUCUAAUGUUUGUCAUCUAAAGUUCUUUAAGAUAGUUUCCUGAUUUUCUCAGAAUGAAAAAAAGGAGCAUUCAAUGUUACAACAGCCUAGAGAACCUCAGCCAGUAUCUCCCAGAGACAAAUGACUAUGGCAUUUAAUUUUUUUGCUUUUAUUGCUAGCACAUAAAGACAUUAAGGAACAAGAGCGCAACAGCUUUCGUGAGCCCAAGCCAAAGUGAAGGCCCUCCAGUGUCAGGGGCACACAGUUUGGUUAAGAGACUAGAGGAGUCCAGGCAGAGUUACAUGGUCUGCUGUGCCUUCUCCACAUACCUGGAUCUCAUUUUACAAAUAAAGUCAAAACACCAGAAAUAUAUAUACGCCAACUUCUGUGGUAAAUAAAUACCCAUGGACUGUUAGUUAAAGAGCCUCAGGUGUGAGGCAGCAGGAGGGCCACCAUAUCACAUACUACACGGCAACUGUCUGUCAAAGGCCCCAUGUCACCUGCCUUGAAGCCCAUGCUAAGACAGAAAACAUGCAUGGUGUUAUGGAGACUGGCUAGCACUCCUGGAUUUGCCUCUUACCUGCACCCUAAAACCUAGGACUACAUUGAAUACCAACAGUAUAGAAAGCAAGGAAUAGGACCCUUUGUGAAAGAAGCACUUUCUUUCCUAGCAAGCUGAUGGAAAUUUGUCACUUCUCCCUGCACAGGGCCUUUAAAAGCCUUUCAGAAAGAUCAUUCUUCCCACUGGAGAAGUAGUUCAGCAUAAAAGUCAUAUGAACAUAAAUAGGAAAAGAAGAAACAAACACAUGAUUGCAGGAUACAGACUAGUUAAGAAGGCAGUAGCAAACUGGAAAUCCUCUAGCUUGUGAAGUGGGGGUCUUUCUAAAUGUGACGAAUGGUGUCCCUGAGUGACGGUGCCAGGUAUCUUUUUAUUAUCUACGUUUUCUACUCCUUUUCUUCAAAAAUUUCCACAAGCUUAAUAUGAAAUGAAAGAAACAUCAGAAAACAAAAUUGUAUGCUGUAAUCAGAGAUUUUUUUAAAAGAUGACUAUUAGCUGAAGCAUAAGCAAGAGUGGCAGGAAGAAAAUACACCAAGGCACAAUUAACAACAGGUCAGCAUGGUACACAGAACUCCACUUUUACAAAUUUUCUAGAGUGAUCAUAUUUAGUAAAUAUAAAUAAAAAUAAUUCAAAGUCAAAAUUAAGGGGAACUUAGAAUGUGCAAUGGAGCUCGGAAUUUGUCAAAACUAGACAUAAAUCAUUUCAAAAGGAGAUUCAGUUUUACCCAAAGUCUACCACUCAAGGUAUAAAAGACAAAACUGUGUGUCUUAUUACACACAGCUCGCUCAAGCUAAGAUAUCAAUCCCAAUUUAUAAAAGAAAAAGAAAAGCAAGUAACCACACUCAGAAUAAAAGGCUAAAAGAUCAGUUCACAAAUACAUUAAGUUUUCCUGGUAGGUGAAUUUGUGGGAAAUUAAUAUUUCCUUCCCUACAUUUCAUGCAUUUUCUGUAAAAUAUUGGUUUACAAAAAAGAGGAAAAUAUAACUGGCAUCCUAUAUCCACAGCCUGCAGCUGCACUCACUAACAAGGAGCGUCCUCCUGGCAAAAAGCAGCCAGCUCCCCUUCAGAGCUGAACACAAGCUCAUUAGGCAAAGCCUCAGGGGUUGGGAGAACACAGGCAGCAGCAGAUAAAGGCUCCAUCUUGUUCCUGCUCCUAAGAAAAGACCCAGCAGCAGCACCAGAGCACAUGGACUUGAUGCCAUCUGGUGGUGGCCACAAGAGCUGUCAAAGACAAUUUUAUAAUCUUGACUGAAUAAAAUCAAAGUUUUAUUGUUCAAAAUGGCAUUCCCUGGUGACUGGUGAGAAAUGCAGAAUCUAGUGUCCCUCUUAACUUCCCAAAUCAGAAUUUGCAUGCACAUAUGUACACACAAACAUAUUAUAAACAGAAAUCUCUGGUCUUGAGAACAGUGAAAAUAUUUAACAAAAUUAUUUGUUUCUCACGGAUACCAAAGCCCACCCUCUCCAAGGAGAUCAGUCCCACCAGCAUUAAUGGGGUCUACACCUUCCAGAAACAGUAAAUGGAGACAGCACUGCCAACCAGACUGCCUGGGGACAACAGCAGUCCUGGAGUAGCACACAUUCCUCUUCCACAUGCUUUUCUGCCAGCAAGUACAACUUAACUCUGAUGAGCACGAUGAGGGCCAGCAGAGACCACUGAGCCACACCUCUUGGUUCCAAAACCAGCUACUUAAUGUCAGAGAAGUGUGGAAGGAAGGCUGUCUCAGAGAUAGCCUGUGGUUCAGAGGCAGAGCACCGCUUAGCAAGGGCAAGGUCCUGGGUUCCAACCCCAGCAUCAAAAAACAUAAAAUAAAGACUGACUCAGAUAAGAUGCUUUUAGGGUCAGAUGAUAUUAAAAGGCUCCAUUAAAAACAUAUUUGAGCUAUUCUAGAAUAAAUAAUAAUUAUGGAAACAUGUCAGCCACUCCAUACCUACUAACAGUCCUUUUUAUUAUCUUAAAACUUCAAAAUUCAUAGGCAAAGUAACUUCUUUGGUUACUUUGGAUUUCUAAAAUUGUGAAGGCCACUCUGAAACAAAUUAUAUAAACAAGCUAUCAGAAAGCAUGUUACAAUUGUUGGCUAAUUACACUGCCCUACAGGGGGGGGAAAUCUCAAUUUCUUAAAACAAGAAUACAUUUAAAAACAAAACCUAGUAUGUCACAGUCUGAAGUGUGAACACCCAUGGGGAUCAGGGAGGGUUGAGAUUCCACAAAUGUUUCCUCUUCUUAUUAUCAUGGCCUCAAGGAAACAACAGAAGGGACUUUAACUUAGUAAGCAGAUGUUAAAACAAUCUCCUCAACAAAGAAGGUUGCUUGUGGAAGCUGAAGAGCUGACCCAGGGUUAAAAUACUUACUGCUCUUCAAGAAUACCCAGGUCUGAUGCCCAUCUCCAGCACAUCAGCUCCCAGUCACCUGUAACUCCAGUUCAAGGGGAUCUGACACCCUUGUCUAGACUCUUGGGGUACUGCACAUACAUGGUGCACUUACACCCCUAUAGGUAAAACACACCCAUAAAACAAAAAUAAUAAAUAAAUCUUUCAAAAACCUCUUAUCAAACUGUCAAUUCCAACAAUACUGAGAUGACAUUAGACUGUCUCCCCACGGUGGCCUUCGUUUACCCAUUUAAGGGAAUGGGUCUUUCAGAGGAAUUUAAAUAUCUCCAAGCAGUAACCAUUGCAUCUAGUCUCUCACUCAUAAAUGUAAGUGACAGAAAAAUCAGGAGAUAGUUAAAAAGACACAAUAGCAUCAGAGAGAAGCAGGAAAAGGAACCAGCAAAACCUCGAUGUUAAUAAAUAACCCCGGGGGUGGGGAGACAUUUUUAAAUGUAAUCCAAGAAGAUGAGGCAGACGAAAACAAUGAACCACUACAGUGAGAAACAUGCUGGAGAGAAGGCUCAGCCUUGCAAAGCACUGGCUGCUCUGCUAGAGAACCUGAGUUCAAUCCCCCGCACCCA